CAACUUUCAACAAUGGAUCUCUUGGUUCUCGCAUCGAUGAAGAACGCAGCGAAUUGCGAUAUGUAAUGUGAAUUGCAGAAUUCAGUGAAUCAUCGAAUCUUUGAACGCACAUUGCACCCUAUAAGGGGUAUGCCUGUUUGAGAGUCAUUUA
rnacentral:rRNA from 1 species